CGCGGGCCUCCCCUCCAAAGCCUACAGAGGCCUCUCCCCGAUGUCUUCUGCACUCCCGGGAAGAACGACCACGUGGGUGACCUCCUUGGCUUCCCUGAUUCCUAGACAGGCCUCUGACCUCCUCAUUUUUCUCAAGCUCGCAAAUCAACCCAGGUCUGUGACUGGCCGGCGUGUGCCACUUCCUGACUGCCCAUCUGGGCCCAAGUCUAGAUCGUCACCCUGAGACCAUCAUAUCCUCUCAGCACCCACCAUAGACUCCGCAGAGACUCCAGCUUUGCCAAUACAGUUACCGUACUGUUACUGCGGGACAGACAGAUGGAUGCAUCAAGACGCCCACCCCCAGCUGAUGACCUGAGCACAGCAGCUCUGGUCCUGUGCUGCCUCAAGGAAGGCCGGGCGGGGACGCCUGUGCACCUGGGUGCCUGCACCAUCACCGCCAUCGCAAGGAGCGGGCUGGACACUCAGG